rnacentral:rRNA from 1 species
UUGCACGCUGGCGGCAGGCCUCACACAUGCAAGUCGCGCGGAUGAAGGGAGCUUGCUCCUGGAUUCAGCGGCGGACGGGUGAGUAAUGCCUAGGAAUCUGCCUGGUAGUGGGGGAUAACGUCCGGAAACGGGCGCUAAUACCGCAUACGUCCUGAGGGAGAAAGUGGGGGAUCUUCGGACCUCACGCUAUCAGAUGAGCCUAGGUCGGAUUAGCUAGUUGGUGGGGUAAAGGCCUACCAAGGCGACGAUCCGUAACUGGUCUGAGAGGAUGAUCAGUCACACUGGAACUGAGACACGGUCCAGACUCCUACGGGAGGCAGCAGUGGGGAAUAUUGGACAAUGGGCGAAAGCCUGAUCCAGCCAUGCCGCGUGUGUGAAGAAGGUCUUCGGAUUGUAAAGCACUUUAAGUUGGGAGGAAGGGCAGUAAGUUAAUACCUUGCUGUUUUGACGUUACCAGCAGAAUAAGCACCGGCUAACUUCGUG